rnacentral:rRNA from 1 species
AUGGCGCUCGGCGGCUGCGGCAACGAAGCUGAUGGUGCACGAGCCAACCAUGGAGGCAGUAGCACGGGGCAGCGACAGCAGCAUGGAGGGCGUCCUCUUGUUUGGGAAGGUAAUGGAACUGCAAAUAGGAGUGGCAGCGGCGACCAGGAUGCAAAUGGAAGUGGUUCCCAAAGACCUUGGAAAGGACUUAAAGACAAUAACUUAUAUGAUCCUUGGAAUCAUGCAUGGCCGUAUUAUGGGGGUUUUGAUUGCACGUACUGCAGCCUAAAGCACAAAGGUGGAGGUGCAACCCGUGUCGCGGAGCACCUUGGUGGUAUUGUAGCUGCUGUCCUUGACCCAUAUACACAUUACAAGCUGAACCUUUGCAACCACACAGAUUAUGCCACUUCACUAACAGAUGCGAUAGCGAAGAUAUUAGACCGAGUGAGUGCUCUUUCAGCCAUUGAUGAAGUGAGCAAGUUCAGGGAGUGCCAAGGGAGGUUUGGGACCAGAUUGGCAGAAGAAGCUGCGGCGAGAAUGGGGCCAACCCAAUGGUGGUUUCAGUUUGGAGGGGAUGUUCCUGCAUUGCAGAAAUGUGCAAUGAGAAUUUGCUCACAAUGUGUCUCCUCUAGUGGGUGUGAGAGAAAUUGGAGCGCUUUUGCUUUGGUGCACACAAAGCAAAGAAGUCAUCUUCUAUAUGACAAGCUCCACAAGCUAGUUUCUGUACGCUACAACUUAAAGAUACGUGCUGAAGAAGAUCAAGAGAAAGAGAGAGAUAUAGAUAAAGAAAUUGAUCCAAGUGCAUUGCUAAUGGAUACCACAAUGUUUGAUGAAACAAACCCAAUAAUGGAGUGGCUGAAUGAGGAUGUAGAGGAUCCGAUUGUGGAUGGAGCUGAUGCAGCUAGUGCUGUUUUUGAGCAAAUAAGGCGCCUCAACUCAAGCAGGAAGGCGUCUUAUGUUGGUUCAAAGGGUAAUAACAAGAAAAGAAAGAGGAAUGAUGAUGAUGAGAAUGAGUUUCUUGAAACUGAGAGUGAGGAUGAUGAAGAAGAGAAUGAAUAUGUUGAUAAUGACAUCGAGGAUGAUGAUGGGGUGAGUGAGGAUGAUGAGGAUGGUGAACAAGAUCAGCUUGAGACACAAAUGCAACUUGAAGAAGAGACACAAGUACAAGUUCAAAAGGAGGCACCAACAAGCACUGGCCAUUUGGAGACUAGAUCUGGACGACUUAUUAGGAAGAAGACCAAGAACGUCAACAGCCUCUACUCGUAA